rnacentral:rRNA from 1 species
GACGAACGCUGGCGGCGUGCUUAACACAUGCAAGUCGAACGCUGAAGCUCAGCUUUUGUUGGGUGGAUGAGUGGCGAACGGGUGAGUAACACGUGAGUAACCUGCCCCCUUCUUUGGGAUAACGCCCGGAAACGGGUGCUAAUACUGGAUAUUCACUGGUCUUCGCAUGGGGGUUGGUGGAAAGGGUUUUUCUGGUGGGGGAUGGGCUCGCGGCCUAUCAGCUUGUUGGUGGGGUGAUGGCCUACCAAGGCUUUGACGGGUAGCCGGCCUGAGAGGGUGACCGGUCACAUUGGGACUGAGAUACGGCCCAGACUCCUACGGUAGGCAGCAGUGGGGAAUAUUGCACAAUGGGCGCAAGCCUGAUGCAGCGACGCCGCGUGAGGGAUGGAGGCCUUCGGGUUGUGAACCUCUUUCGCUCAUGGUCAAGCCGCAACAAUGGUUGUGGUGAGGGUAGUGGGUAAAGAAGCGCCGGCUAACUACGUG